AUGAGAGCUCUUUUCUGGAAUGUUGGUGGUUUUGGUGCUAGGGGGCGUCGGGACCAGAUUCAUGACUUGGUGUGUGGUGAGCAUAUUGACAUUUUAGGUCUGGUCGAAACUUUUAAGGAAUCCUUUUCCCUUUCUGAAUUGUCUGCGCUGGCUGGGAUGGGUAGAUUUGACUGGCAUUUUCUUCCUGCUUCGGGUCACUCUGGAGGUAUCUAGAUUGGCUCCAAGCGAGACAUUUUUGACUUCAUUGCUUUUGAUCAUGGCAUCUUUUGGGCUAGCUACGUAGUGCAUCAUCGCCAACUGAAUACGUUGUGGGAAUUCAUGGUGGUUUACGGGCCCGCGGAUCAUUCGCUUGCUCCUCUUUUUUUGGAUGAACUCUCGAUAAAGAUUGAGGCCUGCAAUAUCUCUCUGCUAAUUGGGGGAGACUUUAAUCUGCUG
rnacentral:rRNA from 1 species